GAUGAACGCUGGCGGCGUGCUUAACACAUGCAAGUCGAACGAAGCAUUUAAGACAGAUUACUUCGGUUUGAGGUCUUUUAUGACUGAGUGGCGGACGGGUGAGUAACGCGUGGGUAACCUGCCUCAUACAGGGGGAUAGCAGCUGGAAACGGCUGGUAAUACCGCAUAAGCGCACAGUACCACAUGGUACAGUGUGAAAAACUCCGGUGGUAUGAGAUGGACCCGCGUCUGAUUAGCUUGUUGGCGGGGUAACGGCCCACCAAGGCGACGAUCAGUAGCCGACCUGAGAGGGUGACCGGCCACAUUGGGACUGAGACACGGCCCAGACUCCUACGGGAAGCAGCAGUGGGGAAUAUUGCACAAUGGAGGAAACUCUGAUGCAACGACGCCGCGUGAGUGAAGAAGUAGUUCGCUAUGUAAAGCUCUAUCAGCAGGGAAGAUAGUGACGGUACCUGACUAAGAAGCUCCGGCUAAAUACGUG
rnacentral:rRNA from 1 species